AACGUAGGAGGCAAGCGUUAUCCGGAUUCACUGGGCGUAAAGCGCGCGCAGGCGGCUCCAUAAGUCGGACGUGAAAGCCCCUGGCGUUAACUGGGGGAGGUCGCUCGAGUACUGUGGGGCUUGAGGUCGGGAGAGGGAAGCGGAAUUCCCGGUGUAGUGGUGAAAUGCGUAGAUAUCGGGAGGAACACCAGUGGCGAAGGCGGCUUCCUGGCCCGCACCUGACGCUAAGGCGCGAAAGCGUGGGUAGCAAACGGGAUUAGAUACCCCCGUA
rnacentral:rRNA from 1 species